UUGCAAUUUCUAUUUCUAUUUUUUUUCUUUUCAGAAAACACCUCUCUCUAUCCCUCUUCCUCUCUGAAAACACUUCGACCAAAUUGAAUUUCGAACCUUAAAGCAUGCAAAUCCUAAUAUUCACACUGACUGAUUUCAAUUUCUGCUAUUUCUUUCUUUUCCCUAAUAUUCACACGGCAUCAACAAAUCAAGAUAUGCAAGAGCAUCAUCUUUGAAUGCGAUUAGAGGUGGUGUACAUCGGUUGGACAGAGUGGCUGGUGUCGAUAUACAUACAAAUCCCUGUUGCUCGGUGUCUCAUCUUUGGUCUUCAUGUACUUGGAGGCAAUUAAGUGGACGACCACGCUGUGAUAUCCCGAAUGAUAUAGCCAGCAAGUACUACAUUUCCCAUGUAAGGUCGAUAGAUUGGUCGGAAAAUGUUGUAGAAUAAACCGAUUGGCAAAGACACGAAGAAGCUAUCUAAUAAUACAAGUUGAGGUCACCCAGAUUUAAAUUCCGGAGGAAGAAGAAGUUGAAGCAUGAUGAUUUAUCUAGACGCUGUAUAAGAUGAGAAGAAAAACCGAGCAAAAGAAAUAGAAGAAAACCUAACCCCUCAUCUUUUUGCCUCUUCUUUGAUUUUAGAUCAGUUUAUUGCAUCAAUUCACGAUGAAAAAUUAUUAAGGAAAUUGAAUGGGGGUUGUCAUAUUGAUAUUGUGGCCUUCAUUGUCUCUUCCAGCAGGUAAAUUAACCUACCAUUAAUACACUUUUUAAUCACUCACUUUCUUGGUGAUUAUAUUUAUCAAAUGUUGAUUUUUCAAUAUGAUUUUGAUUUUGAGUGCCUUGAAUUCAUUAUGGUUUACAUUCUAUGAACUCACUCACUCACUCACUCAGUGAGUGUUCAAUUUUGGGUGCUUCAUUUCUUGGCAGUCAUAACUAUAUUAUGGGGAGCAAUCGGAUCCGCUGUGAUUAAUUGGGACAUGAUCUAUCUCAUAUUUGACGGAAUUCUUACGACCAAGAAACUGAUGGCGGUGUGAUAAUUUGAGAGUUGGGAUAUGAUCCAUCUCACCUUUGUAGGAAUUCUCACGAACAAGAAACUGAUGGUUGUAUCAGAUGCAGAACAACUCAAAUCACCCGAGAAAUAGAAGACCAAAAAGAACACAGAUGGCGUAGCACUACCAUGAGCAAUUGUCAGAUUUCCAUUCACAUAAACCAACUUUAGACUAAGUUGGUCAAAGCAUUGAGGAGUUAUAGAUUAGGGAAUUAAAGGCCACUACACAAAUUAUAAGAUAACCAAGGGGCUACUUACUGAAGAUGAAAGCGUUGCUCACUGAGAUUGCUAAGGUAAACUUGCUGAUUUCUGCUCAUGGCCAGACGAGAUUCAUGUCCAAUACCGCUUGAGCAGAUAACUGCCCUUUGUUACACGCCAGAUUUCAUAGCAGAUAUGAAUACUGCCACUACAAAACAAGUAGCUUCCAGGGACGACUGUUUUGAAAAAACCGUCCCAAAAGAAGGAUAUUUGGGACGGUGAUGGCCUGACCGUCCCUAAUAGUCAUAGAAUAUUUAAAUCAAGACUAAAAUAUGUCCGUCCCAAAAAGAAAACAUGGCCAAAUAGUAUUAGUGACGGUGGAACAGGGGACGGUACAUAAACCGUCCCUAAUACAUUUUGGGACGGUUUUUUGUCCUCCUGGGACGUUUUUUGGCCGUCCCAAGAAGCCUUCUGUUUUGUUGUAUGCUGUAGAUUUUUUCUUUUUCCUGUGUUGCUUAAUUUAUUAUUUUUUGCUUA